UAGGGAAUCUUCCGCAAUGGACGCAAGUCUGACGGAGCAACGCCGCGUGAGUGAAGAAGGAUUUCGGUUCGUAAAACUCUGUUGUUAGAGAAGAACAGCGCAUAGAGUAACUGUUAUGCGUGUGACGGUAUCUAACCAGAAAGCCACGGCUAACUACGUGCCAGCAGCCGCGGUAAUACGUAGGUGGCAAGCGUUGUCCGGAUUUAUUGGGCGUAAAGCGAGCGCAGGCGGUCAAUUAAGUCUGAUGUGAAAGCCCCCGGCUCAACCGGGGAGGGUCAUUGGAAACUGGUUGGCUUGAGUGCAGAAGAGGAGAGUGGAAUUCCAUGUGUAGCGGUGAAAUGCGUAGAUAUAUGGAGGAACACCAGUGGCGAAGGCGACUCUCUGGUCUGUAACUGACGCUGAGGCUCGAAAGCGUGGGGAGCGAACAGG
rnacentral:rRNA from 1 species